GACGAACGCUGGCGGCGUGCUUAACACAUGCAAGUCGAACGGAAAGGCCUGCUUUCCCUUGUGGAUUGCGGGUACUCGAGUGGCGAACGGGUGAGUAACACGUGAGUGAUCUGCCCCCAACUUGGGUAUAAGCCUGGGAAACUGGGUCUAAUUCCCGAUAGGACUGCAGGGUGGUGCCUGUGGUGGAAAACGAUUUUCUAGUGGUUGGGGAUGAGCUCGCGGCCUAUCAGCUUGUUGGUGGGGUAAUGGCCUACCAAGGCGGCGACGGGUAGCCGGCCUGAGAGGAUGAUCAGCCACACUGGGACUGAGACACGGCCCAGACUCCUACGGGAGGCAGCAGUGGGGAAUAUUGGACAAUGGGCGAAAGCCUGAUCCAGCAAUGCCGCGUGAGUGAUGAAGGCCUUAGGGUUGUAAAGCUCUUUUACCCGGGAUGAUAAUGACAGUACCGGGAGAAUAAGCUCCGGCUAACUCCGUG
rnacentral:rRNA from 1 species